CGACCCAUGAGUUUGAUCCUGGCUCAGGACGAACGCUGGGGGCGUGCCUAAGACAUGCAAGUCGAGCGACUCGAUGGGAGCUUGCUCCCUGAGAUUAGCGGCGGACGGGUGAGUACCACGUGGACAACCUGCCUAUAAGACUGGGAUAAUUUCGGGAAACCGGAGCUAAUACUGGAUACGUUCUUUUCUCGCAUGAGAGAAGAUGGAAAGACGGUUUACGCUGUCACUUAUAGAUGGGCCCGCGGCGCAUUAGCUAGUUGGUGAGGUAAUGGCUCACCAAGGCGACGAUGCGUAGCCGACCUGAGAGGGUGAUCGGCCACACUGGGACUGAGACACGGCCCAGACUCCUACGGGAGGCAGCAGUAGGGAAUCUUCCGCAAUGGACGAAAGUCUGACGGAGCAACGCCGCGUGAAUUAAGAAGGCCUUCGGGUCGUAAAGUUCUGUUGUUAGGGAAGAACAAGUACCAGAGUAACUGCUGGUACCUUGCCGGUACCUAACCAGAAAGCCACGGCUAACUACGUGCCAGCAGCCGCGGUAAUACGUAGGUGGCAAGCGUUGUCCGGAAUUAUUGGGCGUAAAGCGCGCGCAGGUGGUUCCUUAAGUCUGAUGUGAAAGCCCACGGCUCAACCGUGGAGGGUCAUUGGAAACUGGGGAACUUGAGUGCAGAAGAGGAAAGUGGAAUUCCAAGUGUAGCGGUGAAAUGCGUAGAGAUUUGGAGGAACACCAGUGGCGAACGCGACUUU
rnacentral:rRNA from 2 species